UUGACCUUUGUGUAGAAACACCAUGUCAGAAUGGAGGAACCUGCACUUUUGUUGAUAGUUCUCGAACUUGUGCAUGUCCUAGCACCCACCAGGGAGUGAACUGUGAAACAGAGAUUGACCUUUGUGUAGAAACACCAUGUCAGAAUGGAGGAACCUGCACUUUUGUUGAUAGUUCUCGAACUUGUGCAUGUCCUAGCACCCACCAGGGAGUAAACUGUGAAACAGAGAUUGACCUUUGUGUAGAAACACCAUGUCAGAAUGGAGGAACCUGC